rnacentral:lncRNA from 1 species
GACUCUGUCGGCUAAUUUUGAUUUUAUUUUUAUUAUUUAUUUUUAGUAGGCCGGGACAGGAAAACUCCGUUAUAAAUUCAUAACUUCUUCAUCCGACGUCCGUUUUUGCCUAUCUUUUCAUCGUUUCACUACAAUUAACGAGAUCUUCGAUUCUCAUUUAGAUUGUUUAGACCAAAAAUCACUCGAUCUCGAAUCGAGUAUGCGGGCUGCAUACUGCUAAGUCAAAACUUCAGAAAAUCAUAACUUCCUCAUACGAAGUCAGAUUUGGGCGUUCUUUUUAUGCACGCUCUCGGUUUAACGAACUCUAUGAAAUUCAUUUAGAUCACUAAGGCUAAAUAUUGCUCUAACAUAAAUUUCACUUUUUACGUCAUUCAGCGUUGUCGGUUCUGUCGCGAAACUUCGACAGGUCAUAACUUCUUCGUUAUAACUCGAAUUUCGGCAUUCUCUAUAUAUUCGGAAACCUCAUUUCAACUACUACAACAUUUUCCAUAGAUAUCAGCUUUAUCUAACAUUUUAUUUUGACGCUUAUUUUUAUUCUUAAUUACAUUAGGACACACAAUUAAGCACAAAACACAUAAUACUCAAAUAAUACAUUUUUAUUAUUUCAAAACGGGUUACAAAGGUUAACCUAGACUAUUAUAACAACAUUAAUGACAAGCCCAGAAACACAGGCGUUACAAUUCUCUCCACCUUAGAAUUAUUCCGUCCCCGGAAUCACACAUCAACAAAAAAAAAUGCGGAUAGCGACCCAUCAUGUCACUCUCCGUCUCCCAGGUGAGAUUCGGCCCAUUCGUGUGUUUCCAUCGGACAAGCACUAACUCGACCAUCUUGCGUCGCAACUUCUUAGUCUUUCGGUCAACGAUUGCCUCUGGUUCUUCAAUCAACCUUUUGUUCUCAUCGAUUCUCAACUCCGAAAGUGGAAUCAUGUCGGGAACUUCUCCCGUGAACUUCCUCAAAUAACACACAUGAAAAGUGUUAUGAAUUCCAUUCAGUUCUUCUGGUAAUUCGAGCUUGUAAGCUUGGUUCCCAAUCCUCUGAAGAACUUUAAACGGUCCAAUAAACCUUGGACUCAACUUUCCCCUUUUACCAAAUCUUAUAAGUCCCUUCCACGGCGAGACUUUAAGCAAAACCGAAUCUCCAACCUCAAAAGUCAUCGGUCUUCGCUUCUUGUCAGCAUAGCUCUUUUGACGAUCCUGAGCUGCUAACAUUCUUUCCCUAAUUAUUUUCAACUUUUCAGCAGUUUGAUGAACCAUCUCCGGUCCCAUAAACUGCUUUUCCCCAGCCUCAAGCCAACAAGACGGCGUACGACACUUCUGUCCAUACAAAGCUUGGUAAGGUGCCAUCUUAAUGCUCGAGUGGAAACUAUUAUUAUAGGAAAAUUCUACCAACGGUAAAUGUUCAUCCCAAUUACCUAGGAAUUCCAGAGUACAUGCUCUCAGCAUAUCUUCAAGUGUUUGUAUCGUUCGUUCGCUCUGACCAUCAGUCUGCGGAUGGUAAGCUGUACUUAAACACAACUUGGUACCCAAUUCCUCUUGUAGACUUUUCCAAAACCUCGAUGUGAAACGGCUAUCACGAUCCGACACAAUCGUUAACGGAACACCGUGAAGCCUCACAAUUUCCUUCACGUAAGAAUUCGCAAGCUUAUCCAUAGACCAUUUCUCCCUGGCUGCUAUGAAAUGCGCACUCUUAGUGAAUCGAUCAAUGACCACCCAAAUCAUGUCAUGACCACUUUUUGUUCUGGGUAGUUUAGUGACAAAAUCCAUAGCAAUGUCUUCCCAUUUACCCAUAGGCACAGGUAAAGGUUCUAAACUCCCGUAUGGUUUCUGAUGUUCUGUCUUGACUCUAGCACAAGUCACACACUCGGCCACAUACUUUGCAACAUCAAGCUUCAUCGUCGGCCACCAGUAGUAGGGUUUCAGGUCCCUAUACAUUUUAGUGCUACCGGGAUGAAUCGAGUACAUGGUCUUGUGAGCUUCUUCCAUCAGAAGAUCUCUGACUCCUCCUGUCUUAGGUAUCCAAAUCCGAUCUUGGAACACCUUCAGUCCAUGACUGUUUAUACCGAACACCAACGUUUUGCCCAAACGUUCCUCCUUUCGGUCAUUUUUCUCAGAAGCUUCCUCUUGAGCUUUCUUUAUACUUUCCACAAUUGUCGAAACGACUUCUAUUCUCAGCGCUCUUGGACUUUUUCCUUCAAGAUUGACUUUCCGACUGAGAGCAUUAGCGACAACAUUUGCUUUACCGGGGUGGUAAAGUAUCUCACAAUCGUAGUCCUUAAGUAAUUCUAGCCAGCGUCGUUGCCUCAUAUUUAACUCUUUCCGAUUAAAGAGAUAUUGGAGACGCUUAUGAUCAGUGAAAAGUUUGCACUUCGUGCCAUUGAGGUAAUGCCUCCAUAUUUUCAGAGCGAAAACUACUGCUGCUAACUCCAAAUCAUGAGUCGGGUAGUUAUUUUCAUGCUCUUUCAAUUGUCGAGACACAUAUGCGAUCACCUUUUCUUGUUGGGUCAAAACACAACCCAAUCCAACCCCAGACGCAUCGCUGUAAACAACGAAGUCUUUAACUCCAUCGGGUAGAGAAAGUAUCGGUGCCUCACAUAGUUUCUUCUUUAGCUUCUCGAAUGCUUCUUUAUGCUUAUCAUUCCAAGCAUAAGUAGCUCCUUUGUGGGUCAAAGCUGUCAAUGGACUAGCGAUCGAAGAAAAGCCUUGGAUAAACCUUCGGUAAUAUCCGGCUAAUCAUAAAAAGCUUCGGAUCUCCAUGGGACUUUUUGGUUGUUCCCACUUCAUUACAGCUUCAAUCUUUGUUGGAUCAACCAUUAUACCUUCUUGGUUGACCACGUGACCCAAGAAUUGGACUUCUCGAAUCCAAAAAUCACAUUUGGAGAACUUAGCAUACAACUUCUCCUCCUUCAAGACUUCCAACACUUCUCGCAAGUGUCUGCCAUGCUCCUCUUGGCUUUUCAAGUAAAUCAGAAUGUCAUCUAUGAACACUAUCACAGAUUUAUCAAGGAACGGAUUACAAACCCGAUUCAUUAAAUCCAUGAAUGCUGCUGGAGCAUUGGUUAGUCCAAACGACAUAACCAAAAAGUCGUAGUGUCCAUAUUGUAUUCUGAACGCAGUCUUCUCUAUAUCCUGAUCUCUUACUUUCAGCUGAUAAUAUCCUGACUUUAGAUCGAUCUUCGAGAAAUAGCUCAAACCUUGCAAUUGAUCAAACAGGUCAUCAAUCCUCGGCAACGGGUAUCUAUUCUUUAUUGUUGCUUUAUUCAGCUCUUUGUAAUCAAUGCACAUCCUCAUACUUCCAUCUUUCUUCUUUACGAAUANCACAGGGUGAUGAACUAGGUCGAAUGAAACCUUUGUCCAAUAACUCUUGAAGUUGCAUCAUCAGCUCCUUCAUCUUCGUCAGUGCUAAUCGAUAAGGUGUUUUUGCUAUUGGUGUCGUCCCUGGUAACAAGUCUAUUCUAAACUCCACUUGUCUAUCAGGCGGUAAUCUGGGAAGAUCUUCGGGAAAUACUUCCGGAUAAUCACAUACAACUGGAAUGCUCUGCAUCACCUUUUUCUCCUUUUUAGCAUCGAUCACGAAUGCUAGAUACGAUGUACAUCCUUUGGCCAAACACUUUCUGGCUUUCAUCAAUGAAAUGAUUCCAGAAUUUACUCUACGUUUAUCUCCAUACACCAUAAACGACUCUUUCUCAGGUGGGUUUACUUUGACUAUCUUCUUCUUGCACAAUAUCUCGGCGUCAUUGGCGCUAAGCCAAUCCACUCCAAGUACGAUGUCGAAACCGUUUAGUUCAAUAGGCAGUAAUUCCUCGUAGAACUUAUUCCCAUUCAAGUCAAUUAAGAUGCUUUUCAUACGAUCACUAACAGGUACAAACUUGCCACUAGCAACUUUGACUAAUAAAGCAUUAUCUAGUCUAUCAACAAGCAAAGCUAGUUUCCUACCAAAUUCAUGCGAAAUAAAGGAGUAGUUGGCUCCAGAAUCAAAUAAAAUUUGGGCAGGCAAUUCGUUAACGAGAAAGGUACCUGAAGCGACAUCAGCUUCAUCUUUAGCAGCUUCCAGUGUCAUCUGGAAUGCUCUCGCCUUUGGCUUUGGCGGAAUGUUGGGUCUAGCUGCCUCCUUCUUCUUCGGGCAGUCCCUCGACAUAUGACCCUCCUCACCACAACCAUAGCAAACUUUCUUUGUGAGGGUACACUCAUUGGCAUAGUGCCCUGGCUUUCCACACUUGUAGCAUGUGUUCGCCACCUCACAUCUUCCAUGAUGCUUCUUCUUACAUUUGUCGCACCAUUUCGCUUCACCUCCACCUCCCCUCGAACCAGACUUCGAGAACUUGUUUUUCUUGUUGGACCCUGAAGUUCCAUCGAACUUCCUCUUUUCUCCAACAUCUAUUCUUUCCAGACCCUUUUCCUUCUGCUGGGCCUCCACAUUCUUAGCUGCACGAACAGCCGUUUUCAGAGUGGUUGCCAUUUUGACUGUCGGACCAAAGUCAGCAGGCAGUCCGUUAGCAAACCUCUCAAUCUUGGAGAGUUCCGUUGGCACUAGGUACGGAAACAACUUCAUCUUCUCAGUAAAUGCAGUAGCAUAGUCAUCUAUGCUCAUCUUCCCCUUCUUCAAGUUUUGGAACUCAUUGUUCAGAUCAAUCAGAUCUAUCUCCGAACAAUACUGCACCCUUAACUGUUCCAAGAACUCCUCCCAUGACAUUUUCAGGGCUUCUCCUCGUGGCAUAGUAUCUGCCAACAACUUCCACCAACUCAAGACUCCAGUCUUCAGUUGUCUAACCGCAAAGACGGUCUUCUGUUUGUUGCUACAGUCGCAACUUUCAAAUACCAUCUCCAUUUCGGAGAUCCAAUCCAUUAUCUCAACAGGCUUUGGGCUCCCAGAAAGACUUGGCGGUUUGGCGCCCAAGAAAUUCUUGUACAUACGCCCAUCCUUGUUGUUUCUCCUUUCCGGAUCGUUCCUUCGUUCCCCUUGAGUCCCAACUUGACUCAUCAUGCGACUAUUGUUCCCUUCCUCCGAUUGCUCGGGAAUCAAUUCGGGUUCCUCAAUAGGUAUGAUAGGUUCAUCCCUAUUAUCAUGCAACAUCUGUCGCAUCUCAUCCCUUUGUUCGGCUAACAUAGCCCGAAUCAUGGCUUGCACCGCAGCCAUUGUUAUUGGUUCUGGUGCUGCUGCUACAACAGGUAUUUGCUCAAUCACUGGCGGUUGAUUCCUGUUUUCAUCUGCGUUUCCAACGCCACUUCUUGUUCUCACCAUUUUUGAUCUACACACCGAAUAAUUUCACCUUAUUACUCCAAACGAUUACAUGCUAGUUCUAAUAUCGUAUACAUACGCUUAGAAUCCUAAACACAUAAACCUUCAGAUCCGGUUGGCAACAAACCGUAGAUCCGAACAAAUAAUAUCAUAUAUGGCAACAUAUAACAUUUAGCACCAAAAAGCAUUUUAGGCAACUUUCCUAAAAUAAACUAGUGCUCGUGUCUAAAAUCCAACAGACACACAUCUCAAAAUUUCACUUAGCAUUCUAAGUUUAAGUCUAGAAAUCCUACAAAUUCCUAGUUCGCUUAAACUAAUGCUCUGAUACCAACUGUGACAUCCCCAAAAUCUCGGCCAGAAAAGACCGAUUUCAUUUAUGCUUUUUAAAAUAAUUUCAGAGUAAAUCCUUUUGAUUUAAAAGAGUUGCGGAAUUUGUUCCCAAAACAAAACAUGAUAAAAUAAUAUUUAUCAAAGCAUUUCAUCAAGAGAUGCAUUUUCAUUAUAUAAUCAAAACUCGGGAUGUCAUGUUCCGAUACAGACCAUAAAGCAUAAACGAUAACAUUACAAGUCAUUCAACAAAUAUAUACAUAUACAGACUUGUAAACAAAACAACUCGAUGAUUCAUCCAUCUUAUGCCCUUGCGCCACUUCCUGUAAUACAAAUAAAACUGAGUGGGUCAGGCUUGGGAGCCUGGUGAGCAUAUAGGGUUUUCAACCCACAAUAAAUAAAUUAUAUUUAAUUUCACCAACCAACAAUAACCCGAUUACCCAUUCCCGUUAUCCUCACUUUACGUCCCUAAAACAACAUCUAUCUCAAGGGACCUAAUCUAGGAUUUUCAUCGGGACGGACAUUACUGCUAAGGGGUUUCCUCAACAAUAGAUAUCCUAAAGGCAACCAUGAGGGGGAUAGAGUACACCGGUGAACACAUCGUUCACAACACCUACAAGUUAUGAAUCUGCUAGCAUUCCACAGGACUGUCUAGAAAGAGUUUGUGGUCGUUAUCCAUACUCCGCUGAAUAACUAGAUCAACAAUAACAACAACAUCGAGGCCUCUCAUCCGUUUAUCACACACCAACUAUCUACCCAUGUUCUACCCAACAUAUUAUUAGAUAAAAAUAUAUAAUUUUUAUACAUAGUUUAAAACCUGCAUAGCAUGUUCGAUCAAUACAUAUUCCACAUAACAGAUGAGGCACACCCACAUAACACGUAUUUCAUAGAAAAUAAAUCAGAUCUAUGAGAUAGAAGAGAGUGAAUAUACAUUCACACACAUAACAACAAAAUUAUACACAUAACACGUAUUUCGUAUAAAAUACUUCAUAAUUAUGCGUUAGAAGAAAGUAACUACACACUCACUUAAUCAGAAGAUGAUCGGACAGCACUACGACUUGUAGAAGUAGUAUUCUUCAGUAGAUCUGGAAGAUCUUCACAAAAACCGAGCUUCUCGCGAGCAGAGCUUCGGCUCGGGAAUUGCACUUCUCGGGAUCUUCGGGGCUUCGGGACUUGCUUCGGGGCUCAGGAUUGAUACCGGGGCUUCGGGAUACUUCUGGCACGCAAAACGAUGCAAAACGGGAGAAAGAGGAGAGAACAUGGCAAAUGGAGUCGGCUGCCCUCGCAACCCUUUUAUAGGAGGCUGAGGCCUCGCAGUACGCUGGGUGUACUCCUUACGCGGGGCGUACUCCUCCGAAAUCGUCAUUGCAUGCGUCAUCCGAAGAACUUGAGUGCAAGGGUCGUCAUGCUUCGUUGUACGCUGGGCGUACGCCAGUACGUUGGGCGUACUUCGGAUAAGUCCGGUGACUCCCAUUCGGAUAAUAUCGGGUUUAAUAAUUAAAUUUAAAUUUUAAUUAUUAAUAAAUUUCGAAAAUUCAUAUCUUCUUCAUACGAACUCUGUUUUCGACGUUCUUUAUGUCCACGCGUAGGUGAGACUACGCUCUACAACUUUCGUUUAGACUCCGUCGGCUAAUUUUGAUUUUAUUUUUAUUAUUUAUUUUUAGUAGGCCGGGACAGGAAAACUCCGUUAUAAAUUCAUAACUUCUUCAUCCGACAUCCGUUUUCGCCUAUCUUUCAUCGUUUCACUACAAUUAACGAGAUCUUCGAUUCUCAUUUAGAUUGUUUAGACCAACAAUCACUCGAUCUCGAAUUGAGUAUUCGGGCUGCAUACUGCUAAGUCGAAACUUCAGAAAAUCAUAACUUCCUCAUACGAAGUCAGAUUUGGGCGUUCUUUUUAUGCACGCUCUCGGUUUAACGAACUCUAUGACAUUCAUUUAGAUCACUAAGGCUAAAUAUCGGUCUAACGUAAAUGUCACUUUUUACGUCAUUCAGCGUUGCCGGUUCUGUCGCGAAACUUCGACAGGUCAUAACUUCUUCAUUAUAACUCGGAUUUCGACAUUCUCUAUAUAUUCGGAAACCUCAUUUCAACUACUACAACAUUUUCCAUAGAUAUCAGCUUUAUCUAACAUUUUAUUUUGACGCUUAUUUUUAUUCUUAAUUACAUUAAGACACACAAUUAAGCACAAAACACAUAAUACUCAAAUAAUACACUUUUAUUAUUUCAAAACGGGUUACAA